GCACCUGGCUGGUGCUUAAACAUGCAAGAUCGAACGCUGAAGCCGACAGCUUGCUGUUGGUGGAUGAGUGGCGAACGGGUGAGUAACACGUGAGUAACCUGCCCCUGAUUUCGGGAUAAGCCUGGGAAACUGGGUCUAAUACCGGAUAUGACCAAUCCUUGCAUGAGGGUUGGUGGAAAGUUUUUCGAUCGGGGAUGGGCUCGCGGCCUAUCAGCUUGUUGGUGGGGUAAUGGCCUACCAAGGCGACGACGGGUAGCCGGCCUGAGAGGGCGACCGGCCACACUGGGACUGAGACACGGCCCAGACUCCUACGGGAGGCAGCAGUGGGGAAUAUUGCACAAUGGGGGAAACCCUGAUGCAGCGACGCAGCGUGCGGGAUGACGGCCUUCGGGUUGUAAACCGCUUUCAGCAGGGAAGAAGCGAAAGUGACGGUACCUGCAGAAGAAGUACCGGCUAACUACGUGCCAGCAGCCGCGGUAAUACGUAGGGUACGAGCGUUGUCCGGAAUUAUUGGGCGUAAAGAGCUCGUAGGUGGUUGGUCACGUCUGCUGUGGAAACGCAACGCUUAACGUUGCGCGUGCAGUGGGUACGGGCUGACUAGAGUGCAGUAGGGGAGUCUGGAAUUCCUGGUGUAGCGGUGAAAUGCGCAGAUAUCAGGAGGAACACCGGUGGCGAAGGCGGGACUCUGGGCUGUAACUGACACUGAGGAGCGAAAGCAUGGGGAGCGAACAGGAUUAGAUACCCUGGUAGUCCAUGCCGUAAACGUUGGGCACUAGGUGUGGGGGACAUUCCACGUUCUCCGCGCC
rnacentral:rRNA from 1 species